rnacentral:rRNA from 1 species
GACGAACGCUGGCGGCGUGCUUAACACAUGCAAGUCGAACGAGUGGCGAACGGGUGGGUAACACGUGGGUGAACUGCCCUGCACUUCGGGAUAAGCCUGGGAAACUGGGUCUAAUACCGGAUAGUGUGGGGUGGGCUCGGGGCCUAUCAGUUUGUGGUGGGGUAAUGGCUACCAAGGCGCGACGGGUAGCCGGCCUGAGGGGGUGGACGGCCACAGUGGUACUGAGACACGGCCCAGACUCCUACGGGAGGCAGCAGUGGGGAAUAUUGCGCAAUGGGCGCAAGCCUGACGCAGCCAUGCCGCGUGUAUGAAGAAGGCCUUAGGGUUGUAAAGUACUGUCAGCGGGGAGGCGUUACCCGCAGAAGAAGCACCGGCUAACUCCGUGCCAGCAGCCGCGGUAAUUC